CCCCUAGUAACGGCGAGUGAAGAGGGAAAAGCUCAAAUUUGAAAUCUGAUGUCUUUGACGUCCGAGUUGUAAUCUAGAGAAGUGUUUUCUGCCUUGGACCACACAUAAAUUCCCUGGAAUGGGGUGUCAUAGAGGGUGRARAAUCCCGUUUGUGGUGUGGACUACCUUGGCUCUGUAAUACACUCUCAACGAGUCGAGUUGUUUGGGAAUGCAGCUCAAAAUGGGUGGUAAAUUCCAUCUAAAGCUAAAUACUGGCGAGAGACCGAUAGCGAACAAGUACCGUGAGGGAAAGAUGAAAAGCACUUUGGAAAGAGAGUGAAACAGUACGUGAAAUUGUUGAAAGGGAAGCGUUUGAAGUCAGUCACAUUGGUCRGAAUUCAGCCUGGCUUCUGCCUGGUUCACUUUCUGGCAAAUGGGUCAGCAUCAAUUUUGAUUGAGGGAGAAAGACUUGAGGAAUGUGGCUGUCUUCGGVCAGUGUUAUAGCCUCUUGUUGUAUGUCUCAAUUGGGAUUGAGGAACGCAGC
rnacentral:rRNA from 1 species